rnacentral:rRNA from 1 species
GUCCACACUGUAACGAUGAUUACUCGUUGUUGGCGAUAUUACAGCCAGCGACUUAGGGAACCGUUAAGUAAUCCACCUGGGAGUACGUUCGCAAGGAUGAACUCAAGGAAUUGACGGGUCCGGCACAAGCGGUGGAGCAUGUGGUUUAAUUCGAUGAUACGCGAGGAACCUUACCUAGGCUAGAAUGUGAAGGAAUGUAUUAGAAAUAGUACAGUCAGCAAUGACCUGAAACAAGGUGCUGCAUGGCUGUCGU